rnacentral:lncRNA from 1 species
UAUGUUUGAAGUUAGAAGACGUGGAUGAAUUUUUAAAUAAAGAACUACCUGUAAAUUUGUUAAGUUACAAGUCGUAUAAAAUAUUUAAAAGAUUCGGAAUUUCUUCGGAGUACCUAAAAAUGAACCCAACUAAGUGGAAUGAUAAUCUUGCAUACCAGUCGGCAAAAAGGACAAUAGAUUCGUUACAAAUUGUUAAUGAUACAGCUGAAAGGGGAGUAAAGCUUAUGGAGGAUUUCAACGAUAAAUUUUCUAAAAAUGAAAACCAAAACAAUUUUUACUUCAAGUGGGUUACAAAAAAUUAUAUCUGUAAUAAAUGUAAUUUUAUAUAACUUAUCUUAUUAUGUAUUUAAUUUUAGGUUAUUCAAAAAUACAGAAAAACAUAUAAAAAUUGUACAAGACAAGUUUUGAAUACACCAUUUGAAGAUAAAACUACUUAGUACUUAGAAAUACACCUUAAACUAUUUCGUUUAUUAUUACAUAAAUAUUAUUAAUAUUAUAUAUUGAAACCACUGUAAAAAAAUUAAAUUUUGUGAAAAAACCAAAAGA